AAUAAUAAUAAUAAUAGCCCCGCAGGGCAUCUGAGGCGGAUGACGGGGAGUAGCGACCCCGCGGGGCUAUAUAUCCGAGUGCUCCAGGGAGAGUAUACUGUCCCCCAUCUCCGGCUUGCCGGAGUGAAGCAUGACGGGGGAUAGGUCUCCCGCCUCUUGGCUUGCCUUCACCGGCCGGUCAGAGUGGAGUCGCUAGAGCAAUGCUCGGAGGGUAGGUGCCUCGUGGUAAGUGGCGAGUGGGCCGGUGAUGCUGGACCCACAGGGAGCGCGUGAUCUGCGUUUAAAGUCCGCCGAGGUAUCCUCACCCUUCUCAGCCGCUCAUGUACCUGUUGCCCUCUUGUUGCUUUUCAGUGACUGAUUCCCGGGGGCCCAGUAAGUGAGUUGGCGAGUCUCCACCUGCCAUUUUUACGUGUAUUUAUUACAUUGUUAUCGGCAGGUGCCAUAGUUCCCGUAGUUUCCCCAUUCCUAGUCCAUUAGCAUCCCAUCACAAUAGCCCAAGUAGUUUUCAUCCAUAGUUAGCAAUAGUUUAGCACAGAACCGGGGAUUGUCCUUGGGUACAUUUCUAUAGUGUAUACAGGGAUAAUCGUCGGUUUUGUGUCACCAUUUCAUUAAAGUUGUCUCAAAAGGGCUUCAGCGUGUUGGCUUCGGCCCCACGUUCGCCUCCCAAAAAUCCGGGACUCUAUAGUCCCGAGGUCUGGUAGAUAAUAAUAAGUAAGUGGUAAGUGGCGAGUGGGCCGGUGAUGCUGGACCCACAGGGAGCGCGUGAUCUGCGUUUAAAGUCCGCCGAGGUAUCCUCACCCUUCUCAGCCGCUCAUGUCCCUGUUGCCCUCUUGUUGCUUUUCAGUGACUGAUUCCCGGGGGCCCAGUAAGUGAGUUGGCGAGUCUCCACCUGCCAUUUUUACGUGUAUUUAUUACAUUGUUAUCGGCAGGUGCCAUAGUUCCCGUAGUUUCCCCAUUCCUAGUCCAUUAGCAUCCCAUCACAAUAGCCCAAGUAGUUUUCAUCCAUAGUUAGCAAUAGUUUAGCACAGAACCGGGGAUUGUCCUUGGGUACAUUUCUAUAGUGUAUACAGGGAUAAUCGUCGGUUUUGUGUCACCAUUUCAUUAAAGUUGUCUCAAAAGGGCUUCAGCGUGUUGGCUUCGGCCCCACGUUCGCCUCCCAAAAAUCCGGGACUCUAUAGUCCCGAGGUCUGGUAGAGACAUACAAGAUAAUAAUAAUAAU